AGACCCUUGCCAUCAGCAGAGGCUGCCGCUGCGCGUCCCCUAGGCGCGGAAGAGGCGGCUGGUGGUCCCUGACGGCAAGGUGAAGUCGAGGCAGUAAUCGGGAACCCAGGUUGGGAGGACAGAAUGGGGAACAGGAAGCUGGGGCGAGGGUGGUCUUGGGGGAGGUGGGGGGCCGCGGAAUUCUAGGUGGCCCCUGCCUCACCUCUGGAAAGAACCGGAAGCCCGGGCCGGGGAGGGUGAAGGGAGUCGCGGACCCGGCUGCUCAGCCGAGGAGGAAACCCGGACCCCAGGCUGAGGGAGGCCGAAGAAGGAACUGGAGGGCCGGGCUGGGAAGGCCUGAAGCGGGUACAGCCUUUAGGCUGGGGAGGGUCGAGGGGAGAACUCGGAGCCUGAGUCGGGCGAGGUUUUGCUCCACUCUGGCUUCUAAGUGUGGGGGCCUCAGGAUGUGACCCGUGGUCGUAAACCUGAGGGUGACUUGGAGUUUUUGUCCGUUUUGCACCAUGAGAAAGGCCCCAGAUGGAAUCUGGCAGGUUUUAUACAUUACGAAUAAAGCUGGCACGUUUCCAUUUCUCCUGGGCAAAUAUUUAGAAGAAAAGUUGCUGGGUAAUUGGUGGAGACAAGGUUUCGCCACAUUGACUGGGCUGGUCUGGAACUCCUGAGCUCAAGCAACCGGCCCUCCUUGACCUCCCAAAGUGCUAGGAUUACAGGUGUGAACCACCGUGCCCGGCCCUACUUUCUAUCGAAGUAGAAUAGGUAGAUCACAUUAUUAUUAACAGUAUAUGGGAAGAGGGAGGUCCUCCCAUGUUACAUUGUUCUCCCUUCACCUUCUGGGUCAUGUUGCACCACUGUUUCCCUUCUAGUCAUAUCCCAGGGGGCCUUGUCCCAUUUAUACAGCUCUAUUCUAGUGGUCACCAGAGGAAUGGGAGUAAUCUGAUUGAAAGAUAAGACAGAAGAUUGUACUCUCUUUUUUUUUUUUUUGAGACAGAGUCACCCAGGCUGGAAUGCAGUGGCAUUGUCAUGGCUCACCGCAGUCUCAAACUCCUGGGCCCAAGUGAUCCUCCCACUCAGCCUCCUGAGUAGCUGGGACUAGAGGCACAUGCAACCACAUGCAGCUAUUUUUUUUUAAAUUUUCUGUAGAGACAGGGUCUCACUGUGUUGCUCAGUUUGUCUCAAACUCCUGGGCUCAAGUGAUCCUCCUGCCUUGGCCUCACAAAGUACUAGGAUUACAGGCAUGAGUCACCACACUCAGCUGAACUCUACUCUUUAUGUUCAGGAAAGCACUGGAGAAGAGAGAGGACAAGAGAAACAGGUCCGUAGUGACAGGAGCCUAGGAAUAGAGCAGGCCUUCAGUCUUGGUGAAAAAAUAAAUGGUAUUCUAAGCCUUCCUUUGGACAUUAAUUCAGUACUACCCACUCUUUUUCUCUUGUCCAUUCCUCCCUUAUAUUUUUUUUAUAAAAUGAAGAACUCAAUCCCUUAUUUUUUUUUUCUAUCCUUCAAGUGAAGGGCAAGAACAAAGAGUGUGGGGGAGAUUUUUUUUUUUUUUUUUUUUUUGAGACGGAGUCUUAACUCUGUCACCCAGGCUGGAGUGCAGUGGUGCUAUCUCGGCUCACUGCAACCUCCGCCUCCCAGGUUCAAGCGAUCCUCCUGCCUCAGCCUCCCAAGUAGCUGGGACUACAGGCCUGCGCCACCGCACGCAGCUAAUUUUUUGUAUUUUUAGUAGAGACGAGGUUUCAACAUGUUGGACAGGAUGGUCUUGAUCUCUUUUUUUUUUUUUUUUUUUUUUUUUUUUUUUUGAGACGGAGUCUCACUCUGUUGCCCAGGCUGGAGUGCAGUGGCGUGAUCUCAGCUCACUGCAAGCUCCGCCUCCCGGGUUCACGCUAUUCUCCUGCCUCAGCCUCCCGAGUAGCUGGGACUAUAGGUGCCCGCCACGAUGCCCGGCUAAUUUUUUGUAUUUUUAGUAGAGAUGGGGUUUCACCGUGUUAGCCAGGAUGGUCUCGAUCUCCUGACCUUGUGAUCCCCCCGCCUCAGCCUCCAAAAGUGCUAGGAUUAUAGGCAUGAGCCACUGCACUCCACUGGGGGAGAAUUUUUUUUUUUUUGAGAUGAAGUGUUGCUCUGUUGCCCACGCUGGAGUACAGUGGUGCGAUCUUGGCUUACUGCAACUUCUGUCUCCCGGGUUCAAGCAUUUCUGCUGCCUCAGCCUCCCUGGUAGCUGGGAUUAUGCCACCACACUUGGCUGAUUUUUGUGUUUUUAGUACAGAUGGUUUCGCCAUUUGACCAGGCUGGUCUCGAACUCCUGACUUCAAGUGAUCUGCCAGCCUUGGCCUCCCAAAGUGCUGGGAUUACAGGCGUGAGCCACCGCACCCGGCCACAUGUAGUAUUAAAUUGUGUAUUUGCGCCUGGAGGCAGUGGCUCAUGCCUAUAAUCCCAGCACUUGGGGAGGCCGAGGCGGGUGGAUCACCUGCUGAGGUCAGGAGUUCGAGACCAGCCUGGCCAACAUGGUGAAAACCUGUCUCUACUAAAAAUUAGCCAGGCAUGGUCGUGGGUGCCUGUAAUCCCAGCUACUCGGGAGGCUGAGGCAGAGAAUUGCUUGAACCCGGUAGGUGGAGGUUGUAGUGAGCCAAGAUUGCGCCGUUGCACUCCAGCCUGGGAGACAGAGUGAGACUCCGUCUAAAAAAAAAAAAAAUACUACACGUGUGAAUUAGAAAUUCUAAGCUGAGAAAGCUACUUAAAAUUGGUCAAGAAAAAGAUACACAUUAAGUAUAAGAAAGUUGGCAUGGCUAUAGUAGUAUCAGAUAAUAGGCCUCAAAACAGUGUAUAUGGCAGGAGAUAGGUAACAGUCAUAAAAGAGCAGGUCAUUAGGAAUUUGCAUAUACAUUUGUCACUACAGGGAUACAUUCUGAGAAAUGUGUUAUUAGGUGAUUGCAUCAUGCAAGCAUCAUAGAGCACACUAACACAAACAGCAAUGGGGUAGCCUACUACAUACCUAAGUUAUAUGGUAUAGCCUAUUGCUCCUAGGCUACAAACCUGUAUAGCAUAUUAUAUAGCAUAUAGCAUACCUGUAUUGAAUGCUGUAGGCAUUUAUAACACAGUGGUGUUUGUGUAUCUAAACAUAGCAAAGGUACAGUAAAAAUACUGUAUAAAAUAUUAAAAAAUGGCACACCGGUAUAAGAUACUUGCCAUGAAUGGAGCUUGUGGGACUGAAUUUCUGGGUGCAUCAGUGAGUGAGUUGUGAGAGAAUGCUAAGGACUAGGACAUUACUGUAUACUGCUGUAGACUUUACAAGCAGUACACUUAGGCUUCACUAAAUUUAUUUUUUUAAGUUUUCUUCAAUAAUAAAUUAACCUUAGCUUCCUGUAAUAUUUUUACAUUAUAAACUUACUAUUUUUUAUCUUUCUGAAUUGUAGUGACUCUUCACUUAAAACGCAAACACAUUAUAUAGCAACACAAAAAUAUUUCUGUCCUUAUUCUAUAGGCUUUUUUCUAUUUAAAAAUUUUUUUGUUUUAAAAAUGUUUGUUACUUUUUAAACUUUCUUGUUAAAAACAAACACACUUUAGCCUGGGCCUACACAGGGUCUAGAGUAUCAAUAUGUCUGUCUUUUACCGCCAUAUCUUGUCCAACUGGAAUGUCGUCUUCAGGAUUAAAAAUAUGCAUGGAGCUGUCAUCGCCUAUGAAAACAAUGCCUUCUUCUGGAUACCUCCUGAAGGACUUGCCUGAGGCUGUUUUACAGUUACUUUUUUUUUUUAAUAAGUAGAAGGAGUACAGUCUAAAAUAAUAAUACAAAUAGUACAAUAAAUUACAUAAACUAGUAAUGUAAUCACUUAUUAUUAUCACCUAUUACGUACUAUACAUAAUUGCAUGUGCUAUACUUUUAUACAACUGGAAGCACAGUAGGUUUAUUUACAGCAGCGUCACCACAAACACCUGAGUGAUAUGUUGCAUGACAACGUCCACAAGUGAUAGGAAUUUUUCAGCUCCAUUGUAAUCUUAUGGGACCACCAUUGUAUAUGUGUCCAUCAUUGAGUAAAAUGUUAUUACAUGACACAUGACUGUGUUCAUCAGGAAUAUGUAUGCUAGUAUGAACCUAUAAUGAGAGUGUUAAAUUUUAUGAAGCAAAAACUAACAGAACAAAAGAAAUAGAUCCACAAGCAUAAUUGGAAAUCCACAAUUAUAUCUCAGUAAUUGAUAGCACUUGUAGGCAAGAAAUUCAGUAGUAUAUGUAAUCAGCUCUUCAUAUAUGCAGAUUCAACCAAUAGCAAUGCACAAAUAUUCAGAAAAAACACAAUGACAGUAAAAAAAUACAAAUUUUAAAAUACAGUAUAAAAUUAUUUACAUAGCAUUUACAUUGUAUUAAGUAUUAUAAAAAAUCUAGAGAUGGUUUAAAAUAUACAGAAGGUUGUGCAUAGGUUAUAUGCAACUACUACACCAUUUUAUAUAACAAACUUGGGCAUCUGUAGGUUUUGGUAUCCACAAGGUGUCCUGGAACCAGUCCCCUGUGGAUAGCAAGGGACAACUGUAUAGAAGAUAUGAACCACACCAGUCAACAUGACCUAAUUGUUGUUUACAGAACACCAUACCCACAAUUGAAAAAUUACAUUCUUUUCAUGUACCUGAACAGUCCCCAUGAUAGACUAUUGGCUGGACCAUAAGUCACAAUAAACUUCAAAAGAUUGCCACAUUACAGGGAAUGUGCAUUAGAAACCAAUAAUAAGAAACCUAUACAGUCCUUCAAUACAUGGAAAUUAAAUAACACACUUCUAGAUCUACAGAUCAUUGAAUAAAUAAGGGGAAAAUGUUUUGAAAUAUGAAAAAGUGACAACAGCAUAUCAAAAUUGGAAGGAUACAGCUAAAGCAGAGUUGAGAGGAAUGUUAAGUACUUAAAUAAAAAAAGGAGAAAUUCAUAGCAGCAUUAUUCACAAUAACCAAGAAAUACGUACAACCCAGAUGUUCAUCAGUGGAUGAAUGGAUAAACAAAAUGUGGUAAUAUGAUUUGGAUAUUUGUUCCCUCAAAAUCUCACACGGACAUGUGACCCCCAGUGUUGGAGGUGGCGCCUAGUGGGAGGUGUUGGAUUAUGGGGUGGAUCUCAUGAAUGGCUUGGUGUCCUCCACAUGGAUAUGAGUUCAUCCUAUAGCUAGUUGUUUAAAAGAGCCUGGCACCUCCUCCCUCUCCCUUUUGUUCCCUCUUGCCAUGUGAUAUGCUAGCUCUCCCUUUGCCUUCUGCCAUAAUUGUAAGCUUCCUGAGGCCUCACCAGAAGCAGAUGCUGGCACUAUGCUUCUUGUACAGCCUAUAGAACCAUAAGCUAAAUAAACCAUUUUUCUUUAUAAAUUACCCAGCCUCAGGUAUUCCUUUAUAGCAACACAAAACAGACUAAUACAUGUGGCAUAUACAUACAAUGUAAUAUUAUUCAGCCUUGGAAGGAAAUUUUGACAUAUGCUACAAUGUGGCUGAACCUUGAGGAUAUUCUAAUAAGCCAAUCACAAAAAGAUAACUACUUAUGAUUCCACUCAUAUGAAGUAUCUAGAGUAGUCCACCUCAUAAAAUCAGAAAGUAUUACUGGUCUCCCACUUUUAGGCUAUUAACGCUUGUAGUGAGAGUUUGUAGGUUUCUUGUCGUGGUUGCCAGGGGCUGGGGGCAGGGGGAAAAGGGUAGUUAUUAUUUCAUGGAUAUAGUUUCACAUUUACAGGAUGAAAAAGUUGUGGAUGUUGGUUGUACAAAAAUGGGAAUAUACUUAAUGCUGCUGAGCUGUAUACUCAAAUAGUUAAGAUGGUAAAUUUUAUGUUACAUGUAUACUUUGCCACCAUUUUUAAAAAUGAGGAAAGGCUUAAACAAGAAUAAUAAACAUGCUAUAUGCUAAACCAAAAGUCAAAAAAAAGAAGUAAAGAUGGGCAUAAAUCGGCUGGGCGCGGUGGCUCACGCCUGUAAUCCCAGCACUGUGGGAGGCUGAGACGGGCAGAUCACGAGGUCAGGAGAUCGAGACCAUCCUGACUAACAUGGUGAAACCCCAUCUCUACUAAAAAUGCAAAAAAUUAGCCAGGAGUUGUGGCAGGCGCCGCCUGUAGUCCCAGCUACUCGGGAGGCUGAGGCAGGAGAAUGGCCUAAAUCCGGGAGGAGGAGCUUGCAGUGAGCCGAGAUCGCGCCACUGCACUCCAGGCUGGGUGACAGAGCGAGACUCCAUCUUAAAAAAAAAAAAAAAAAAAAGAUGAGCAUAAAUCAAUUAAGUAGAAAUAGAAAGCAGACCAUUAAGAAAAUGAACAAAACAACAAGUUUAUGUGAAGGUAUUUUAAAAAUGGAUAAAUCCCUAGUAAGCAUAAUUAAUAAAAUAGAAAACACAAAUUGCCCAUGUCAGGAAUAAAAAUGAAGAUGCCACUACGGAUCCUAUAGACAGUAAAAUGAUAAGGCAAUAUUAUGAACAAUUUUAUGCCAAUAAAUUUGACAUUUUAGAUGAAAUUCAUCCAUUCCUUUAAAAGCACAGCUUCUCAAAACUCUUGACUCAAAAUGAAAUAGAAAAACAGAAAGUCUGUAUCUAAUUGUUUGUUUGUUUGUUUGUUUGGAGACAGGGUCUUGCUUUGUCAGACUGGAGGCUAGUGGCAUGAUCAUGACUCACUACAGCCUCAACCUACCAGUAUCAAGUGAUUCUUCUGUCUCAGCCUCCCAAGUAGCUGGGAGUACAGGUGGGCACCACUAUGGCCAGCUAAUUAAAAAAAAAAUUUAGAGACAGGGUCUCACUUUGUUGUGCAGGCUGGUCUUGAACUCCUGGGCUCAAGAAAUCCUCCCACCUUGGCCUCCCAAAGUGCUGAGAUUUCAGGCAUGUGCCAUGACACCUGGCCUAAAAUUUUAAGUUUUAAUAAAUAAAAAUCCAUACAUACAGAACCAGGUUCAGCUCCACUGAAACCCCUGCAACUCAGCCAAAAGUAAAUGUAACAUGGUUUUGAAUGCUGUCUUAAUCCAGGGCACAUGAAAAACCCUUAAAAACAAAAACAAAAACAAAGCAUACCUCUGCCCCACCGAGAUGAGCUCAAAAACAAACAUUACAAACAACGAGGAAAUAACCAUCACAGGAGGGUCAGCAGAGUAAAUAAAUAAUAAAGUUGGCACCUACAAGAACUGCAUAUAAUAUGACAAUAUGAAAGAAUAUGAAAUGUUUUAAAUGGAAAAAAACUCAUAAUGAAAGCAUAAUACUUAAAAAGAAUCAGUAGAUUUAAAAAAUAACCAGAGAAAAUUUCUAGAAAUAAAAAAGAUCUUAAGUAUAGAGAACAUAACAAGCACAGCUCAAAAUUAAUGAACUUAAAGAUAUAUCUGAAGAGAUUACCUAUAAUGCAGCACAGAGAUAAAAAGUGAAAUACAGAUGAGAAACUGAGACAUGGAAGAAAAUAAAAGGGCCCAAGACACAUCUAAUAAAUGUCAUAAAAGGAGAAAAAGGAGGAGAAGCAUCAGAAGAAAAAGUGGUUUACAACUUUUCAAAAUUAAACUCAAUUUUAAGAUGAGGAAUCAAAAUGAGUGUCAAGUAGGAUAAUGAAAGUGGAUCUAACACCUAGACACAUCACAGUGAUAAUGCAAAACAGAAAUCUUGAAAAGAAGGAAGGGAGGGAAGGAAAGAAAAGAAAAACAGAAAAGACAUGCUACCUAAAAGGAAAGAUGAUUGGGCACAAGAUGUCAGAAGACAGGAGAAUAAUACCUUCAAACUGAUAGAGGAAAAGUAGCAAUUAAGAGUGGGGCAAAAUAAAGACAUUUUCAGACAAAGAUAAGGUUUUUUUCAUAGACUCACUGGAAGAAUUUCUAAAGGAUGUGAAUCAGCAAAAAGAAAAACCCAGAAAGACAGAAUGAGAUAAAAUUUUAAAUGAUGAGCAAGGAAAUUGGUAAAUAUGUUGGGGAUUCUGUUUACUAAGUAAUGAUGAUUACUUUUUACGGAAUUUCAAAACAAAUUAGAUCAAAAGCACCAGACAAAAAUAGAAAGAGGCCGGAUGCGGUAGUUCACACCUGUAAUCCCAGCACUUUGGGAGGCCAAGAUGGGCAGAUCACUUGAGGUCAGGAGUUGGAGACCAGCCUGGCCAACAUGCUGAAACCCCAUUUUCACUAAAAAUACAAAAAUCAGCUGGGUGUGGUGGCGCUCACCUGUGAUCCCAACUACUCAGGAGGCUAAGGCAAGAUAAUCGCUUGAACCCAGGAGGUGGUGGUUGCAGUGAACCGAGAUUGCCCCACUGCACUCCACCCUGGGUAACAGAGGGAGACUCUGUCUCAAAAAAAAAAAAAAAGAAAGAAUGUACCUACAGCAUUCUAAGGUCUUUUUUAUUGCUCAAGAAGGAGAUACCAAUUAGUCAUUAAGUCAAAGAUGCAAGGUUAAGAGUAACUUCCGAUAGUAAAGCAAUACAAUAUCUUAUUUUUAAUCCAGUGCAGGGGAAAGUAGAAUAAGGAGCACUUAAUUGAUCUCAUAGAAGUCAAUAAAACAUAAAAGAAGCAGCAAGUAUAAGCCUGAUUAAACAGAAAGUGGGGAAAGAGAUGGGUCAUUGAGCUAAGGGGAGGCCUGGUGACAGCUCUUGGAAGAUGAAGUCUGACCAGAAUAGCACAUAAGUCAAUCAGGUUGCUGUGGCCAAAGUGCAUCGUCCUUGCCUCUCUGAGUUUGUAGUGGGGAGAAACAACAAACCCAACACUAAACAUGGAGGAAAGAAUUAAAGACUCAGGCCUAUCAGUUUCCACUCCCUGCCCUCCCGUUACUACCAGUUUAAAGGCUUACAGGGGCUCAUGGAUGAGUGGGAAGUUUUUGUGACGUUUGAUAGAGAAAUGAGCUGCCUCUUGACCAGCAGAGAGCCCCAGGUUCAUCCUCAUGUGGAGUAACAGGGCUGCAGAGCAGUCAGUGUUCCAGAGCCCUGUGCUCACAGAUCUAGCUACAAUCCCCACCUGCACUGUUUUUAGUUGUGUAUAUCCCUUAAUGUUACUGAACCUCAUUCUCUUCUGAUGUAAAAUGAAGACAGGCAUUUCUGCUCAACCCAUUUCAUCUGUAAAUGGAGGGAAUAAGUCUUUAUGAAAUGAGACAAAGUAUAUUCAGUGUCUGCAGUGCAGUUAAUAAAUUAGUGUCUUUCUACCUGUUUCUCACAAAACUGAAAUAAAAGCUGGAAAAUUGCUUUGUAAACCAUAAGGCACUCUGCAUACAAAAGAGAUUACUAUGAAUUUUUCCUAAGUGAUUAACUCAUGACUCCUUUCCAUACUCCUCAGCAGUGGCAACAUUGGGAGGCUGGAUUUUGGUGGGAUGGAAGAUAAUGAGGGGACUCUGGUUUCUGGCCAGCUCCAGGACUGGAUGUGAUGGUUAACGAUACUUAACAUCACCACACAGCUCAUUCCCUAGCUGGCUCAGUAACUAUGGAUCUCUAAGCAAUGUCUUAACAUUUACGCUUACAUCUGCUAAGCUAAGUAUGUACUGUUCCUUGAUUUACAUGCCACAUUGAUUUUUUAAGGGGUUUCAACUGUGGAUCAUGAGGCAGAAGAGGUGACAAUGAAAGGUCAGGCAAAGACAGGAGUGUCCAGUGUGGAACACGAAAUCCCAUCCUGACUAUAAAACAUUAUAUGCUGUUUAUUACAUUUUAACUUCAGAAAUUAUCGACUCCAUUUUCCAUUUCCUUGCAAUAUGUAUUGAGCUUUUCAGUCCUGUUUUGUCAUCAUGCAAACAAGUAAAAUUCUUCAGGAUGCAGACCCACCUAAUAGUACUAAAAAGGAAUCUUUAAAAAAUAUGGAGAUGUCUUCUCCCUAUGGAGCUACAGGGGAAAAGACACCACUCUGUGUCAUAAAAUCUAUUUAAAUGGUUGCCGGGCGCGGUGGCUCACCCUUGUAAUCCCAGCACUUUGGGAGGCCGAGGCAGGUGGAUCAUGAGGUCAGGAGUUCAAGACCAGCCUGACCAAUAUGAUGAAACCCCGUCUCUACUAAAAACACAAAAAUUAGCCGGGCGUGGUGGUGUGCAUCUCUAAUCCCAGCUACUCGGGAGGCUGAGGCGGGAGAAUUGCUUGGAGCCAGGAGAUGGAGGCUGCAGUAAGCUGAGAUCAUGCCAUUGCACUCCAGCCUGGGCAACAGAGCGAAAGCGAGACUCCGUCUCAAAAAAAGAAAAAAAAAAAGCUAUUUAAAAGAACCUGAUAUGAUAAAGUAUUGAAUUGAGAACACUCAGUGAAUAUCAGCAUUACUCUCCUGUUCAGUAGAGAGAUAACUCUGAUCAUCCUCAGCUAUUUUCCUGUCUAUAAUUUGCUUAUUUGUAUUAUUUGUGCAAAGAAGUCUUUAACACCUCAUAUUUCAAUAGUAAUCCUAAAUCCUGUUGUUUAUGUCAUAAUUCGCUGCCCUGAUAAUGCUUAAACUCAUCUCUGUUUUUCUAAAAGACAUAAAUAUGUAUAAGGUUUCUAUAUUAAGAAAAAAGACGAGUAUGCUGUUUCUGUUUACUUCUAUCAGCAUAAAGGUAUAAUAAAAUCCCAUGAGUGGCUGGGCGUGGUGGCUCACGCCGGUAAUCCCAACACUUUGGGAGGCUGAGGCAGGUGGAUCACUUAAGGUCAGGAGUUGGAGACCAGCCUGGCCAACAUGGUGAAACCCCAUCUCUACUAAAAAUACAAAAAUUAGCCAGGCGUGGUGGCGAGCACCUGUAAUCCCAGCUACUCAGUAGGCUGAGGCAGGAGAAUCGCUUGAACCCAUGAGGCGGAGGUUGUAGUGAGCCAAGAUCAUGCCACUGUACUCGAGCCUGGGUGUCAGAGCAAGACUCCGUCUCAGGAAAAAAAAAAAAAAAAUCCCAUUAGGGAAAUGCACAACAAAACAAUAAUGAGAUACUAUGAAUACACCUACUACGAUGGCUAUAAUUUAUUUUAAAGUGUUGGGAAGGAUGUUGAGAAAUAAAAACUCUUUUACCCUGCUAGUGGGAAUGUAAAAUGGUCCAGUUGCUGUGAAAAUCAAUCUGGCAGUUCCUGAAAUGGUUAAACAUAAUGUUAGCGUAUAAUCUCCAGUUCUGCUCCUCAGAUCUACCUGACAGAAAUGAAAACAUUUCCACACUAAAACAGGCACAUAAAUCUUCACAGAAGCAUUAUUCACAGUAGCCAAAAAAUGGAAACAACCUAAACAUCCGUCAGCUGAUGAAUGGGUAAGCAAGAUGUCAUAUCCUUACCACACUUUAGAAUAUUAUUCAGUCAUAAAAAGAAAGUAAUAAUGAUACACGUUACAGGGACGAACCUUCAAAACAUUAUGGUAAGUUAAGCUAGUCAUGAAGGAUUUACAUACUGCAUGACUCCAUUUAUAUGAAAUGUCCAGAACAGGAAAAUCUCUCAAGAAAAAGCACAUUAACGGUUGCCUAGGGCUGGAGGGCAUGGGGGUUUGAAAGUGACAGCUAAGGGGAGCUGGAUUUCUUUCGGAGAUACAUACGAUCUAAAAUUGUGGUGAUGCUUGAGCCCAGGAGUUUGAGACCAGACUCGCCAACAUGGUGAAACCCUUUCUUUACUAAAAAUACAAAAAUUAGCUGUGUGUGGUGGCAUGUGCCUGUAAUCCCAGCUAUUUGGGAGGCUGAGGCAGGAGACUCGCUUGAACCCGGGAGGAGGAAGUUGCAGUGAGCCGAGAUCAUGCCACUGCAGUCCAGCCUGGGUGAAAGAGCAAGACUCUCUCAAAAUAAAAUAAAAUUGUGGUGAAGAAUGUAUAACUCUGUGAAUAUACAAAAAUCCAUUGAAUUGUACACUUUAAAUGGGUGAAUUGUAUAUGAAUUAUGGCUCAAUAAAGUGGUUUUAAUGUGUCUCAUGCCUUAAGGGAUUACUAGUUUAGUAUAUGGUCUCCAGUAGUGGUUUAAUGAAAUUCCGUGGGAGAUCUCUUGAGCUUUAUUCAGAGCGUUGUUUUACCCUCCUAGUGUCCACUCCCUGCUGUCUUUGCAUAGGAGAACCACAGUCCUGUAUUCAGAGGUAAAAGUGGAUAAGUAUCUCAUGAUUUGAGGAUAGAUAGGUGUGAUGGAAAGAGAGUUGUCAUUCACUUGGUCUGCCCUGUUCCCUAAGUGUAUGUUUGCACCCCACACCUCUGUCAUCCUUGUUCUGAAAUGAGUGCUAUUCUACCUCAGGAACAUACUGAUGACCCCCAGCACUGUGAAAAUCAGAACAGUGAAUGGCAAGAUUCAAAGGGGCCAUGACAAAUAUUAGGGAAAUGGAAAAGUAGAAUGAGAUCCAUCCAUUGUGGAUCAAACCUAACAGACAAUGGCAGCAAGAAGUGGGGAGAGAAGAGAAACUUUCUCUGAAGUCUUGCCUAUUCUGUGCCUCCAACAAUAUGCCCCUUCCCCAUAACUUGCCCAACGAAUCUCUUCAACUGUAUCCUUUGUAAUAUCCUUUAUAAUAAACCAGCAAACAUAAGUGUUUCCCUGAGUUCUGUGAGCACUUCAGCAAAUUAAUUGAACCCAAAGAGGGGGUUGUGAGAACCCCAUCUUUUUUUUUUUUUUUUUUAAGACAGGAUCACGCUCUGUCACCCAGGCUGGAGUGCAAUGGCACAGAUCACUGCUCACUGUAACCUUGAAUUCAUGGGCUCAAGUGAGCCUUUCACCUCAGCCUCCCAAGUAGCUAGGACUACACAGGCUUGUACCUCCAGGCACAGCUAAUUUUACUUUUUAUUUUCUUGAGACAGGUCUCACUCUGUUGCCCAGGCUGGUCUUGAACUCUUGGCCUCAAGUGAUCCUCCAGCCAUGAGCCACUGUAAAUGUCUGGGAAUGCCAACUUGAAGCCCAGCUGGUCAGAAGUUCUAGAGGCCCAGACUUGCAACUGGUGUCUGAAGGGAUGGCAGUCUUGGGGACUGAGCCCUCAACCUGAGGGAUCUGAUGCUAUUUCCAGGCAGAUAGUGUCAGAAUUAAAUUGGAGGAUACGCAGUUAGUGUCUGCUGCAGAACUGAUUGCUUGCUUGCUGGUAGGGGGAAAUCCCCACAUAUCUGGGGGUCAUUGAAGUCUUUGGUGUUGACUCUUACUGUGUUUGUUGUUUUCAUGUGAGAGCAGAGGAAAAGCAAGGAAAUGUUUUCCUCUGGUCAGUUUUCCAGACCAGUCUUUACAGAAACACACACAGAGCUUCAAACAACACUACACUUACACAGCCCUAAAAGUUAGUAAGUACCUCUUUCAGUUCUGCACUCCAAGCACUUCAAUGAUUUCAGCCUUACUGUAGUCCUGGUGUUGAUUUUUAACAUCCAUCUCUCAGCAACUGGCAAAAAAAAAAAGACAAAAAAUAUCAGUGAAGAUAUAUGGAUUAUCAACCAACUUGAUAAAAUUAAUAUUUUGCACAAUAAUGCACCUAACAACUGUAAAAUACAUGUCCUUUUCAAGUGCACAUGUUAUAUUCAAGACAGACCACAUACUAGGCCAUAAAAAAAGCAUCCGUGAAUUUCAAAGGAUCAAAAUCGUACACAAUGUAUUCUUUGGUCAAAUGAAAUUAGGAAUCAUUGACAAUGAAGUACCUAGAAAACCCACAAAUGUUUGGAAAUUAAACACACUUCUAUAUAAUCCAUAGGUUAAAGAAGAAAUCAAAGGGAAAACGAAAAUAGUUUGAACUAACUGAUAAUGAAAAUGCACCAUAUAAAAAUUUGUGGGGCCAGGCAUGGGGGCUCAUAUGUAUAAUCCCAGCACUUUCGGAGGCCAAGGCGGGUGGAUCGCUUGAGCUCAGGAGUUUCAGACCAGCCUAGGCAACAGGGUGAAACCUCAUAUCUACAAAAUACAAAAAUUAACAGGAUGUGGUGGUGUGCAAUUGCAUGGCUGUGGUCCCAGCUAUGUGGGAGGCUGAGGCAGAAGGAUCGCUUGAGCCCGGGAAGUCGAGGUUGCAGUGAGCCAUGAUCACACCACUACACUCCAGCCCAGGUGGCAGAGUGAGACUUUACCUCAAAAAUAAAUAAGUAAAUACAUAAAUAAAUAAAAAGAAAAUUUGUGGAAUGGAGUUAAAGUAGGGAUUCUGUAUUUAAAUGCUUAUAUUAGAAGAGAAGGCCUAGAAUCAAUAACUACAGGUUCUACUUUAAAAGGCUAGAAAAGGAAAAGCAGAGUAAACCCUCGGUACCCAGAAGAAAGGAAAUAAGAUGAGAGAAAAAAAUAAAUGAAAUAUAUAAUUAGCCAAACUAAAAGUGAAUUCUCUGAAAAAUCAACAAAAUUGAUAAAACCUUGGGUGGGCAUGACGGCUCAUGCCUGUAAUCCCAGUACUUUGGGAGGCCGAGGCGGGCAGAUCACCUAAAGUCAGGAGUUUGGAACCAGCCUGGCCAACAUGGUGAAACCCCAUCUCUACUAAAAAUACAAAAAUUAGCCAGGCAUGGUGGCAUGCGCCUGUAGUCCCAGCUACUCUGGAGGCUGAGGGAGGAGAAUCACCUGAACCUGGGAGGUGGAGGUUGCAGUGAGCUGAGAUAGUGCCACUGCACUCUAGACUUGGCAACAGAGCAAGACUCCGUCUCAAAAAAAAAAAAAAAAGAGUUGAUAAAAACCUUAGCUAGAAUUAUCAAUUUAAAAACUGCAAAGACAAAUUACAUGAAAGAACUUAUCACUAAGGAGCAUUUUAGAUAUUAGAAGUCUAACAG
rnacentral:lncRNA from 1 species